rnacentral:rRNA from 1 species
CCGACGUCGCAUGCUCCCGGCCGCCAUGGCGGCCGCGGGAAUUCGAUUAGAGUUUGAUCCUGGCUCAGAUUGAACGCUGGCGGCAGGCCUAACACAUGCAAGUCGAGCGGUAGAGAGAAGCUUGCUUCUCUUGAGAGCGGCGGACGGGUGAGUAAUGCCUAGGAAUCUGCCUGGUAGUGGGGGAUAACGUUCGGAAACGGACGCUAAUACCGCAUACGUCCUACGGGAGAAAGCAGGGGACCUUCGGGCCUUGCGCUAUCAGAUGAGCCUAGGUCGGAUUAGCUAGUUGGUGGGGUAAUGGCUCACCAAGGCGACGAUCCGUAACUGGUCUGAGAGGAUGAUCAGUCACACUGGAACUGAGACACGGUCCAGACUCCUACGGGAGGCAGCAGUGGGGAAUAUUGGACAAUGGGCGAAAGCCUGAUCCAGCCAUGCCGCGUGUGUGAAGAAGGUCUUCGGAUUGUAAAGCACUUUAAGUUGGGAGGAAGGGCAGUAAAUUAAUACUUUGCUGUUUUGACGUUACCGACAGAAUAAGCACCGGCUAACUCUGUGCCAGCAGCCGCGGUAAUACGAAUCACUAGUGAAUUCGCGGCCGCUGCAGGUCGACCAUAUGGGAGAGCUCCCAACGCGU